rnacentral:rRNA from 1 species
UACGAAGGUCCCAAGCGUUAUCCGGAUUUAUUGGGUUUAAAGGGUGCGUAGGCGGGCUAUUAAGUCAGUGGUGGAAUCCUGUUGCCCAACAACAGAAUUGCCAUUGAUACUGAUGGUCUUGAGUACAUUUGAAGUGGGCGGAAUGUGUCAUGUAGCGGUGAAAUGCUUAGAUAUGACACAGAACACCGAUUGCGUAGGCAGCUCACUAAACUGUAACUGACGCUGAGGCACGAAAGCGUGGGGAGCAAACAGG